AUCCCCGACCCCCGGGGGUCAGCAUGUUGUGCAAGAGAGGGGUGAUUUGGCGUGAACGACUGACAGUAUGAUCUUGUGGUGCCAUCAGAGGUGAUUGAUGGAGGCUGUAAAGUUUCAUUGAUAAGCGGGAGCGAAGUCAUAAAUUCUGCAAUGCAUGGUUGACUGUUUAUAAAUCCGCUCUCUCUCGGUUCAUCCAUGGUCAUCUGCAGAACAAAUGAAGAUGAGAGACAAUCAGAGACUCGUUUUACAUCCCAUGUUAUGUAUAUACUAUAAUUGUGUCGUAUAUUCUAUUACUCAGGUGACACACAAACUUUGUAUAAGUACGAUGAACGUCUCUCUUAGAAUAUUCAAAUAUCGAGAGGUCAUGUGACCCACCUAAGCCAAUCAAUUUCGCCAGAAGGUAAACUUGACAGCUAACGGUGGGAAUAUAGAAUGCAUCAAUGAGGUAUCUGUAGCAACUUGAAAAAAAUGCAAAAUUUGCAUAAAUCCUUUCUCUAUCAAUAGGUAAAUCAUUUAUUCUAACAUACAUGGAAGUAAUUACAGGGACAAUAGAUAAAUUCUUGAGUGUUUCACGAUCCCUAUAAGCCAGUUUUUACGAGGUUUGUAGGACGAAUUUAUGUCGGUAGCAAUAUUACAAUUAUUAUUUCUGACCUGUCAGAGAUCUUUGUGACAAGCCGUAAAUCAUUUCUUUAGCGAACAUGUCAACAAUGAAGGAAAAUAGUUCAAUAACGAUCAGGCUCACCGACGCAAACCUGCCUCGCGUGCAGUGGCAAAAAAUCAAAACCAUUCCAGAUUGUGGGAUUUUAAAAAUUCCUGUUCGUUGUCAUUCGACAUUUUCAAUGUUUUUCUUGCCUUGGCUUCAAACCUAUUGGAUGCAUUACAUGUCAAAAGUCCGAUGGAUACAUGUGUUUUAUCACGAGCUGUCAAAACCGAUAUUUGUUUUACACUUGACAUUUAGUGAGCGAUAUGCUUCUUGGUUUAUUUCUUGAAACCCAAUGUUUUUUCUUGGAUCUGUCGCAAUGCUAAUUUCUAAAAAUUGCAAGGAAACGUUUGAAUUCACUGAGAGGGUCAGCUGGAUUGUGGUAAUGAUUUCGCAAUGUUCGAAAAAAAAAAAUGUUUGAUUUAGAUAUAUUUUAUUCUGUAUAUAACAUAACAGAAUUAGACAACACACAGAGUCUACCUAAACCUCCUGAGGUACAAGGUCACUACACAUACACUUUAUAAAAACAAUUGUGAAAAUAUUUGCAAUAUAUGACAACAUCUUCCGACAAUAAACAUAGGUCCAUGGAAUACUCUCCUAUUGCAAUUUAAUGAUGAGAUCGGGAUGACCAUGCUUUAUCUGACAUACCCAGGGAAAACUCGACGUCAGUCCCUCUCUCCCCCACAGAUGAAAAUGUCAGACCAUAAUGAGGAAAUGAUUGAGUAGAAAAUUGGAAGAGUCGUCGGGCUUGUCUCUGUUACUAAUACUUAUGUAAGAAACAGAAGCAGUGCCAGGAAAACUGUUCCUCCCCAAGUCGCUGUCUCACCAUCUGAUAUUGUUAUGUGAUAUUAUAAGAUUUAAUAAAUCAGACGGCUUAAAGAAAAA